rnacentral:rRNA from 1 species
UGGGGAAUCUUGCGCAAUGGGCGAAAGCCUGACGCAGCAACGCCGCGUGAGGGAAGAAGGCCUUCGGGUUGUAAACCUCUUUCAGGAGGGACGAAGCUUCCGGGGUUAAUAGCCUACGGGGUGACGGUACCUUCAGAAGAAGCCCCGGCUAACUACGUGCCAGCAGCCGCGGUAAUACGUAGGGGGCAAGCGUUGUCCGGAAUCAUUGGGCGUAAAGCGCGUGUAGGCGGCUUGGUAAGUCUGGCGUGAAAUCUUGGGGCUCAACCCCAAGCCUGCGUUGGAUACUGCCUCGCUCGAGUCCGGGAGAGGGAAGCGGAAUUCCCAGUGUAGCGGUGAAAUGCGCAGAUAUUGGGAAGAACACCGAUGGCGAAGGCAGCUUUCUGGAACGGUACUGACGCUGAGACGCGAAAGCGUGGGGAGCAAACAGGAUUAGAUACCCUGGUAGUCCACGCCGUAAACGAUGGGCACUAGUUGUGGGCGGUGUCGACUCCGUCCGUGGCGAAGCUAACGCAUUAAGUGCCCCGCCUGGGGAGUACGGCCGCAAGGCUA